GGGAAAAAGAAAGCAGAGGACAGGCUGUGGGAUGGGAAUGCAUUGACCCACUACCUUGGGAUAGAAACACUGAGGAAUUUGAAGAUUCUAAAUUUGGAUUUGGUUCUCCAGUCAUUAUACAUGGAGACUGAAUAAAACACAGUGUGGGACUGUGAUCCCUGAGAGGGGGAACAGACAGGUGAACCUGCAGCCCCUGCCCGCUCUGCGUGGAAGCAUUUUCUGAGUUGUGGUGCCAAAAGGAAAGCCCGCAUCCAGGACAGAAGAUCCAUGGAGGCAUGGGAGCAGGGAUACGAGCACGAGGAGGCUGAGAUGGCUCAAAUUUGGUGGACAGAGAAGCAAAGAAGGGGGGUCUUCACAAAGGAGUUUCCAGAGUUCUGACAGGAAUCCCUUUGAAUUUUAACAUCCAUCUGCGCAAUCUCAAGAUAACUGAGGCUCAGAAACCGAAGUGCCUUGCCCAGAGUCACAUAGCUGGAAAGUGCCAGAACAAGACUCAAAGUAUUCUGAAGCAAGGUCUCCUGUCCACUGCAUCCUACUGCCAUGAAAGGCUUCCACCAUCCCAGCCCCGGCACAUUUUAAACUGAGGGCCCCACAGAUCUCCUCACGAACUGCAGCCCCACAUGCUGACAUCAGCAAUGCAAGAGGACCGUAGGUAUUAAUGUCUGUCUGAGGCCUGCUCUGUGAAUGAGGACAGCAGAAGCUAACAUGCUAGCGAGAUACAAAGUCAACAAAAUCAGUUACAGAUGCAUGAAGGAACGGCUGUACUCCACCAAUUGUUUCAUUAGCAAGACUGGGGAACUGCAGGAAAGGUGGGGACUCGCUCCUUGUAGCCCGAGAUGAGAUUUACGCCGCACACCUGUCACUUGGUUGGUGCCCUGCUUUCUGAGAAACUCCCGGAGAAAGGAAAAGACAGAGUGAGAAAUUCUAUUAACCUUGUCAUAGGUUCAGUGGGUGUUGUAUUACUUGGUUCCUCUAUGAAUUUUUUGUUUUGUUUAAAUGCGAUCAGAAGCUACAUAAGACAUGCUACAUGUGUGAGGUUUUGCCAUCAUGCCCGCGGACUGAUAUUUCGGCCGGCGACUGAGAAGUAUCCCUGUGCCUUCUCGCUAAAGCGGCCGACAGCCUCCCUCCGAAGCAGCGACGCCUGUGACAUCCGUGUCAGCGCGCAUUGUCCGUAAACAAGGAAGGCCUGCCUCCGAGUGGGGUUGAGGGAAUUGAUGCCUCACUUGAGUGCUUUGAGAGGCCAAGAUCAAAAGCACUUUUAAGCAUAUCAUAUAAUUAUCAUCAUUAAGAGGCACGAGGCGAGGAGUCCUCAACUCCCAAAUUUUCAAAGCAACAAAAGCAACACAGCUUUAAUGGGACUUUGAAGUCAGAUAAAUCUCCAGGCUUUGGAAUCAGAUUGGCUUGGAUCUGAGUCCCUCUUCUUCCGUUUACUAGCCGUGUUGUCUUGGAUAAACGAGCCAACUCCUGUGGGCCUCAGUGUCCUCAUCUGUCUAAUGGGUGUUAUAGACUGCUCUCUUCAACUGCUUGCUGUGAUCUUAUCAGCACUGGUUACAGCAAUGUCGCCAAGCUUGAAAUGAAGAUGAAGUUCUGGAAAUAGAACGAGAUGUGGUGGGGGGCACAAAGUAGGACAACACAUCAAGGACUGCAAACCCUUCUGCUUUGCCUGCCCAGGGCCUAGUGCUCAAGGAAAUCAUGAGUGGACAUUGAGGAUUGUCUGUGUAAUUCCCACCCCACCCCCCAAAUAAUACUUUAUUCCUUUCCUUGUGAUUGUCAAGGACAGUCCCCUUUGUCAAGGAGGUAUGGCCUUGAUUUGCCCUCACUCCCCCACUCCUUCGACUCCACUCUCCUGCUAUCCACAUGGCAGCCGGGAAGUCAAACACUAACGUGAACAAAGAAAUGAAAGCCAAUUAACCCUUCCUUUUUGGCUGUAACGGGAC